GGAUGGAUGUCUGAGUGGUUGAAGGUAUCAGUCUUGAAAACUGAAGUGUUUAAUUGGCACCGGGGGUUCAAAUCCCUCUCCAUCCG
rnacentral:tRNA from 2 species